rnacentral:rRNA from 1 species
GACGAACGCUGGCGGCGUGCUUAACACAUGCAAGUCGAACGGAAAGGCCCUGCUUUUGUGGGGUGCUCGAGUGGCGAACGGGUGAGUAACACGUGAGUAACCUGCCCUUGACUUUGGGAUAACUUCAGGAAACUGGGGCUCAUACCGGAUAGGAGCUCCUGCUGCAUGGUGGGGGUUGGAAAGUUUCGGCGGUUGGGGAUGGACUCGCGGCUUAUCAGCUUGUUGGUGGGGUAGUGGCUUACCAAGGCGUUGACGGGUAGCCGGCCUGAGAGGGUGACCGGCCACAUUGGGACUGAGAUACGGCCCAGACUCCAACUGGAGGCAGCAGUGGGGAAUAUUGCACGAUGGACGGGAGCCUAAUGCAGCAACGCCGCGUGCGGGAUGACGGCCUUCGGGUUGUAAACCGCUUUCGCCUGUGACGAAGCGUGAGUGACGGUAAUGGGUAAAGAAGCACCGGCUAACUACGUG